UGGGGAAUAUUGGACAAUGGGCGAAAGCCUGAUCCAGCCAUGCCGCGUGUGUGAAGAAGGUCUUCGGAUUGUAAAGCACUUUAAGUUGGGAGGAAGGGCAGUAAGCGAAUACCUUGCUGUUUUGACGUUACCGACAGAAUAAGCACCGGCUAACUCUGUGCCAGCAGCCGCGGUAAUACAGAGGGUGCAAGCGUUAAUCGGAAUUACUGGGCGUAAAGCGCGCGUAGGUGGUUCGUUAAGUUGAAUGUGAAAGCCCCGGGCUCAACCUGGGAACUGCAUCAAAAACUGGCGAGCUAGAGUAGGGCAGAGGGUGGUGGAAUUUCCUGUGUAGCGGUGAAAUGCGUAGAUAUAGGAAGGAACACCAGUGGCGAAGGCGACCACCUGGGCUAAUACUGACACUGAGGUGCGAAAGCGUGGGGAGCAAACAGG
rnacentral:rRNA from 1 species